rnacentral:rRNA from 1 species
GACGAACGCUGGCGGCGUGCUUAACACAUGCAAGUCGAACGAAGUGGCGAACGGGUGAGUAACGCGUAAUCAACCUGCCCUUCAGAGGGGGACAACAGCUGGCAACGACUGCUAAUACCGCAUACGGAAGGAGGGGAUUGCGUCGGAUUAGCUAUGUGGAGGGGUAACGGCCCACCAAGGCGAUGAUCAGUAGCCGGGCUGAGAGGAUGACCGGCCACAUUGGGACUGAGAAACGGCCCAGACUCCUACGGGAGGCAGCAGUGGGGAAUCUUCCGCAAUUGACGAAAGUCUGACGGAGCAACGCCGCGUGAGUGAUGACGGCCUUCGGGUUGUAAAGCUCUGUUAAUCGGGACGCGGUACCGGAAUAGAAAGCCACGGCUAACUACGUGCCAGCAGCCGCGGUAAUAC